UUGCCUGAGGGCUUGUUGUUGGGUGGGGCCAGUCCCUAGGGGGGGCUGCCUGCCCUGGCUGAGCGGGAUUAAAUCGGUGCUCUAAUGGGUGGAGCAGGGAGAACUCCAAUGGCUCUGCCAGUGUCUGUGUCAGCACGCCCACACCAGGCCAUAACAAUGGCCGCCGCCAAUGUCCCAGUCCCCGGAGAGGUCUCACCUCUCACCGAGAUGCACUCAGAACCUAUUAGCAAAGAAGCAUCACAUGCCAGAGGAUGUGCCGGUUGAAAUGUAUGCUUUGUAUUUUGAUCACUUAAGAGCACUUCUUCUCUCCAACUGUUUGAUGGUGUUUGUUGAACCUGAAAAAAUAGUGAGUGGUCCUUAUGCUUAUUAUUUCCCCCAAGGCUAGUUUUCAAAAAACGGGCCCUUCCAAAGAAGACCAGUCUCCAAAAAACCAUUAAACUGAGGACCGAGGUGUUAAAUAGCAGGCGAAGGUGCUAGAAGGGGCUGCUGCUUUGAAAGUAGUGGUGUACCAGGAGGCCCCAGAGAAGAGUGGGGAAGGGGGUCAUGUGGGAGGAAACGCUGUGCACCUGCCUUAGCGCUGAGUGUGCCCUGCUUUCUCAGGUGUGCUUUCCAACGCCUUCCUGCCCAGAAAACCAACUACUACCUUCUAGAACUGAUGGCAGCAAAUGGCGCGCAGUUUGAGUUGGUGGUAAAUAAGGGAGGGAACUCAUAGAGUGAGGCCUCAGCCUUUGUUCCCAAAUUCUCUGCCACAUCACACAGUUGGUCACAGAAGGAUUCCAGAGCGUGCCUUGCCCUUUUGUGCCAGCGAGAAUUAAAGGCGUAGAAUGAUGGAGGUAAUGCAAAGAGCAGCUUCACAAUAUAAACACACAUGCGACCUAUCUUUCUAUUUUAAAAAUAGAACAAAGCAAUUGAAUUAUGUCAUAAAACCAGUUAAGUGGCUGAUAUUUAUGAAACACUUCUGGAUUUUUUUUUUAAGUAUUUGUUGUUUGACUGAAUUUAGCUAGACCGAGCUCCUCUGCCCACCACCAGAAAAAUCAAUGACAUAUAUAAAUGUAAAUGCAGUAUAAAACCAUCCCCCCAGAACCUCUCUUCUAGGAUAGAGAGGGGAAAAAAAAGAGAGUAAUGGCUUAGUGCAUUUGAAAAUAUAUUUAUGAUAAAUAGUUUUAAAUAAAACAUUUAAAUGUAUUAUAAUAUAUUUAAAUAUAUAAAUAUAAAUAUAAUUUAUAUGUUUAUAUGUUUAAAAAUGAAAAGCUGCCUUUUGUUUCUGGGCCUUGAAUUCCUUAUGUCGGGACUAUCAGCCCAGAUGUGGCAUCCUGCAAAAGCCCUGCCUCAUCCUGCUUAUCCCAGGACCUGGAGAACUGGAUCUUGAGAGGGAAAAAGCAAGCUGAAGAAUUUCUUACAAACUCCCUUCAAGUAAGAAUUUUACUUCUGUGAACUCCUCUCUUCUGUGUUCCCCCCACGCUGAGUUCGGCAGCCCUGCCCAGGAGAAAAAGGUUCUCAUCAGAGAGCCACAGGCAGCUUCUGGGUUCCAGAGACACGAGGAGCCCAAGAUGCACAUUUGCAGAGGCAGAAAAAUAAUUAGGUGUCCCCAGAUCAGCAGGAGCAUCUUCACAAGACAAUUUAAAGGACUCUUGCUCCUCCUGGACAGGAGGAGAGCUUUCUCGAAGUAUCCUCUUCAGCCUGGGCCCCAUGACAAACACAUGUGGAGCAGAUCUGAAUCCACCGCAGCCUGGAACAGAGCUACCCCAGCCAACCCACAGACCAUGAGAAAAAUCAGUGUUGUUUGCCAGCAAGUUUGGAGUGUUUGUUACACAGCAUUAUUGCAGCAGUAGUUGACUAAUAUAGGUCAAUUCACUUAACUUCUCUGGACCUUCAUUUCCAUCUGUAAAAUGAAGCCAUUGGAUUAUAAUCAAGGUGUUCAACCUGUUUUAUACCCCUCCACAGCUGAGGGCUCUGGCGUAUACCCAACAGUAACAGAGACAAAACAUACCAGAGUCAAAUAUUGGAAAGCACUAAAGAAAGAAAAGCAUUGGGAAACGUGCAUUCCAUUUAGGAACUGGGGACUUAUUAGGGCCUUGGAAAGAGUCAUUUCUGGUGGACAAUGGAGGAGAAGCCCCAUUGCAGGGCUGAAAGGUAAAUGGGAGGUGAGAAAGUGAGCAAGCAUGGGGUCCUCUCUCAAGCCACUUGGCUGGGAAGAGAAGGAUGGGUGGAGUAGUAGCUUGGGUGGAACAUACAGUCAAAGAACAGGUAGUUAGUUGGUUAGUUGGUUCUUUGUCUGACUGACUUGUAAUGAUUUAAGAUGGAGAGAAUUGAAUCUGCAAAGAAACAUUUACAGUGUCAUAGUUAAGGGAUAACAAAGGUAAGAGCUUGGGCAAGAGUGUACAGGAAACAAGAGGUCUGGUCUACCAGAGAGAGUCGAGUGAGACUCACCAGAUGUAUUUACCGAUUUGAUAUGCUCAUUUACACUUCAGGUUCUCAAACCUAACGGCAGGGCAAGCGUCAACCAGUGAAACAAAGAUCAAAUGAAACAUAGAAUUGUGCUAUUACUGUUCAAAUCAGAGGAUAAAUGUACAUUUGUCAUAGGAAAACCUGAAAAAUUUCUGGAAAGCAAAUUGCAUUUAAAGUUUGAUUUAUAUAGUACUUUUCAAGAAAUAGAUUUUCUUUUAUUUUUAAAUACCUACAACUAGGAGAUAGAUAGUUGCCAUCAACAGACUAGUAAUAAUAUAUGUUGAUGUAAGAUCUACCAUUCAUUAGUGCCCAUACUCCCUUUUAAGAAGACAGGAGUAGGAUGACUCUCUGCCCUUCACUGUUGGAAACUGCAGCUCAGAAAGGCAGCUAACAUCUCAGACCUUCUUCUUGAAAGAAAAAUCCACACUCAUCUUCUCAACUGCCUUUCUUCCCGAUCACUUCUAAACCUGCUGCGUUCUGGCUUCUGUCCCCACCACACCAUCAGUGACUAUCUCCAUCACCUCCUAAGACUUCUUAGUUGCUAAAUCCAAUAGACAUUUUUUAAACCUCAUCUUAUUUGUUCAAGGCCAAAACUACUUACUUUUGGUAUAAGCCCAAGAUCAUUCAAAGUGAGGCCACUUCUUUGAAGUAUGCCUCUCUUCACUUUUCACUUCAAUGCAUUUCUGAAGAUCAUGUAGGAGUUCCGAAUGGUGUUAAAAAAUAGAUAAAUAAAAUGAAAACAAAACCACGACCUAUCUACCUAGCAUCUAUGUGAUUAUUGUUGAGUACAGCCUGCAGUUAUGGGAUGAUAAUAGCUAAGACUUUUUGAACACUGACUGUGCCCAGCACUGCUCCAAGUCUACUCCAUGUUUUAGCUCAUUUAAUCCUCCCAACAUGCUAUCGGUAAGUACUGUUAUUAUCCCUAUUUUACAAAUGGGGGAACUGAGGCACAGAGACCUUGCAAACUUCCAUAAGGUCACAGAGCUAGCCAGGAUUUGAACCCAGGCAAUUCGGUUCCAAAGCCCAGGCUCUGGACCCUUAUACAAAGUGGGGAGAGGCAGCCAAGAGCAAAGUGUUUUCAGGUGUUUUUAGAGGCGGUGCUGAUGAAUGGACAUGCAGCCAAGUGCUUGAGAGCAGCUUACUUUCCUAGAUGGAUUCAACAGUCACCUUUGCACCCUGAUUCUGUUUAGCAAUGCUUCCUUCAUAAAUCGUGCAGAGAUGAACUUUAACCCACAGCCUAGUCUAGCCUGAAUUGUAAAGACAAAAUGUUUUAUUAAGAUCCAGAGUUCACUUCAGUGAAAUCUGGUUAUAUAACAAGUGGGGGUGGUAGCUGGUUGCAGUGGUAUGCAGCCAGAAGUGGAUGGAAAUUCUCUGUGAUGAUAUUCGUAGAAGCAAAGAACUAACAUGUAUUUGUAUGUAUAUAUGCCAAGCACAUACCACACGAAAUCCUAUAUACUAUCUCUUUUAAUUCAGUUUGGUUCAACAAAUAAUGGAAUGCAUAUUACCCAAUAGAAAUGUAUUGAGUGCCCCAGGCACAAUGCUGGGCACUUGAAGCGAAAGCUAGGUAAACACAACCCUGCUCACCUUCUAAUAGCGGGGAUAAGUAGUCAGAGAGAGAAGAGGUACCAGGUGUGGUUGGUGGAGCACAGGGGAUGCAGAAGCUCUCACCUGAAUGAAGGGGUAAAGGGCAACCCAGCAGAGGGAAGGAAAUUGGUGGUAAACAGCAUGGUGUAU